ensembl:lncRNA
ACUGGAGAUCCCUGCAUGUCUGAGACCUUCUGAAGGCAAAACCCAGGAACAGCCUCAAAAUUAUUUCCUGCCAGAAGCAGAGGGUUAAAGAGGGAAGCGAGAAGGAGGAGACGGCGCAGGUGAGUGUUUAUGCUAUCCAAAUGGUGACUGGUGCACAGAGCAGAACCCACACCCACCUCCUUCCUGCCCCGGGAACCUGGGCAGAGCAGCAAUGUCCCUGCAGGGCUCAGGGAGCGUGAGAAAACCAACGGCACACAGCAGUUCAGAGCCCCACCUCGCCCAGGGCAGGAGGAGCAGAGCCUACAGCACCCCAGGAAAGUCAGAGACAGCACUGCAGCCCGUGGAGCUGCAGGAAGAGGAGUAAAGCCAUGCACUGAAUUAGCCUGCACAGCAGCCGAUGGGAUCAUGAGAACCAAUGGAGUUUUUCACAGUAUUUUUUCCUUAUGGAAUUUGCCCUCUCAGCCUUCUCUUUCCCAGGCUGAACAGCCCCAGGGCUCUCAGCCCUUCCCCAUAAGGGAGAUGCUAUGCUGGCCACACUCUUUGUGAUGCACCCCAGGGUACCAUUGGCCUUCUUGGCCAUCAGAGCACACUGCAGGCUCAUGGUCAAUGUUAGUCAACCACUGGUCAAUAUGGAUGUGCCCCAGGGCUGCUCCUUCCCUAAGUGCCCAGGACGAAGAGCAUCCUCUGCCUGGACCAGGGAAGCCAGGGGUUAUCCUUAUUCCAAGGCACAGAUCUGAAAUAUUUUGGCUAGACAUUGAUAUUUCAAAAAGGAUGAGUGAUUCUAGAGAACACAGCUGCUGUUCAAAACACCCCGUUUUCUUAAAGUCUUCUUGGAGGACUCCCAGGCAUAAUUUAUUCAGUACAAACUUGCCAAUGCUUGUGGUUCUGCAAGGCUGCCCCAUGCCCAGCUGCCAGCAGUGCAGAUCCACCAUCUCCUCCCCUCUAGCAAUGGGCAGCUAUCGUUUGCUCACAGCCACCUGCCCAGCUUUGCAGGGCUUGAAGGACAGCUUGCUUGCAUUAUUUGUUGAAGCAGCCAAACACAAAGUCUCCUUUGGCUGAGCUGAACAACCACAUCUGAAAAACUUUCCCUACCGCCCUGGCCUUUAUUGCUCAUUCCUCGUUAGGAAAAAUCUCUUAGGGUCAAUCCACCCUCACCUGGGCAGCUUAAAAUUAAACACCGAGGCAGUCACUCUGGGUUCCCCACAGAGCCAGUGGAGAAACCACAUGGUUUAUCCAUCAUAAGACAGAGACGGAAGGAGGGGCUAAUUAAUAAUUUUCUAUUUCCACUGUCAAUUAAAGGGGCCCAGAUGGAGAUAAGUGAUGCUCAGACGUAGCUUGGUGGCCUGAACGUCAUCCUUUAUCUUUUGUGAGCACAUAUGGACAAAGACACACGAGUACUGUAUUGCAAAGGGCCAGCCUUCAUUCCUAGGGUGCUGAGCUAGCACUGUGCUGCCAGGACAGGAUGCUACACAUCUUCUGGGUCUUUCUGACAUGAGAGUGAAACAAGCAGCAGAUCAGCAUCCAGGAGGCAAAGCUUCGCAGUCACGCACCAUGGGCGUGCUCCCAGCUCUUGUCUUGCCAUCCCCACUUGCACCACUCCUCCUUUUCUGAAAAUCCCAGCUCCUGGACUCACUGAGCUACGUAAGGCAUUCACUUUCCUCUUUUCCUAAGAAAAAGCCUACAGAGAAAAUCUUGACAUGCUCAGCACCACCCAUGUGCCGGAGGGUAACACAUGGUUACGGUGAGGAUUAAGAGGACUUCACUGCAAAUAGUUGGGCUGUUUGACUCAUGCUCAGGGCUUUGUUUGUUUUGCUCAUCCCUGGAUGGAAAGGCUUCUAACUGGAUUUCCUUAGCAAUUUGUGGCUGCUUUCACUGUCUCUGGUCGAUGUAAAGCAAUGCAAAGAGGCUGGUGGCUAUCAAAGCUGCAGAGUCUCCAGCCUGGAUUCCUCUGGUGCUGCUCUGCCUCAGCCAGGAAAUGAGAGCUGGAAGUCACAUAACCAGUGUUGGCAACCCACAGAGUCAAUGGAAAUCAUAGAACCAUCGAAUCAUUGCCACUGGAAAAGACCACUGAGAUCACCACCAAGUUCAAACCCAACCCAUCCCACCAUACCCACUGACAACCUCCCUCAGUGCCACAUCUCCACACUUCUGGAACCCCUCUGGGGAUGAUGGCUCUACCACUGCCCUGGGAAGCCUACUCCAUACCUCGCCACCCCUUCUGAGUAAAAAUUUUUCCUAAUAUCCAACCUGAAUGAGGAAUCUUAUGCCCAAAACAGGGAUACCAUGAAUCUGCUCUUUGUGUCCAGCAAGGCAAGGAAACAAGACUUGUAUUGCAGAAUUUGCCAAGGGUU